UACGUAGGGUGCGAGCGUUGUCCGGAAUUACUGGGCGUAAAGAGCUCGUAGGUGGUUUGUCGCGUUGUCCGUGAAAACUCACAACUCAAUUGUGGGCGUGCGGGCGAUACGGGCAGACUGGAGUACUGCAGGGGAGACUGGAAUUCCUGGUGUAGCGGUGGAAUGCGCAGAGUAUCAGGAGGAACACCGGUGCGAAGGCGGGCUCGUGGGCAGUAACUGACGCUGAGGAGCGAAAGCGUGGGGAGCGAACAGGA
rnacentral:rRNA from 1 species